rnacentral:rRNA from 1 species
GAUGAACGCUGGCGGCGUGCCUAAUACAUGCAAGUCGAGCGAACAGACGAGGAGCUUGCUCCUCUGACGUUAGCGGCGGACGGGCGAGUAACACGUGGAUAACCUACCUAUAAGACUGGGAUAACUUCGGGAAACCGGAGCUAAUACCGGAUAAUAUUUUGAACCGCAUGGUUCAAAAGUGAAAGACGGUCUUGCUGUCACUUAUAGAUGGAUCCGCGCUGCAUUAGCUAGUUGGUAAGGUAACGGCUUACCAAGGCAACGAUGCAUAGCCGACCUGAGAGGGUGAUCGGCCACACUGGAACUGAGACACGGUCCAGACUCCUACGGGAGGCAGCAGUAGGGAAUCUUCCGCAAUGGGCGAAAGCCUGACGGAGCAACGCCGCGUGAGUGAUGAAGGUCUUCGGAUCGUAAAACUCUGUUAUUAGGGAAGAACAUAUGUGUAAGAAACUGUGCACAUCUUGACGGUACCUAAUCAGAAAGCCACGGCUAACUACGUG